CAUUAAUAAAUUGACUCUUAAUG
rnacentral:snRNA from 1 species